rnacentral:lncRNA from 1 species
UUGCUGAAUAACAAUAUUUGAAACUUUAGGUAAUUUCCAUAUGAGCCCUUUUUAUAUUCAGCAGCUUGAAUUGGGGGAAAUCCGACUUGAAUUGGCUUUCAGUUUAUGGCUACCUUACGGUGGCGGACGACUGGAUUUACGGUCGCCGACUACUAGGGAUUAUGGUGGUGGUGUAAAUUGACGGAAAAAGGAGGUGAUUUGGUGGCGGCGCGUGUAGGAAGCACUCGUGGGUUGUCGUUUCGUGUGGUGACUGCAGGCCGCGAUCAAGGGCUGAAGUUGGUCGGUUUUUGGUCAACGGAGGCCGGCGAGUUUGUUGGUGGAGGUGGCUGAAUGGUGGUGGAUUGCUUGGUGGAGUCGCGGGUUUGGGUUGGUGAUUUGCGGCUGUUCAGGCGGCAGUUGAGGCAGCGAUGGC